CAGUCGCCGCGGGAAUACGGAGGGUGCAAGCGUUAAUCGGAAUUACUGGGCGUAAAGCGCACGCAGGCGGUUUGUUAAGUCAGAUGUGAAAUCCCCGAGCUUAACUUGGGAACUGCAUUUGAAACUGGCAAGCUAGAGUCUUGUAGAGGGGGGUAGAAUUCCAGGUGUAGCGGUGAAAUGCGUAGAGAUCUGGAGGAAUACCGGUGGCGAAGGCGGCCCCCUGGACAAAGACUGACGCUCAGGUGCGAAAGCGUGGGGAGCGAACAGGAUUAGAUACCCGAGUAGUCCCUGUCUCUUAUAA
rnacentral:rRNA from 1 species